rnacentral:rRNA from 1 species
AUUGAACGCUGGCGGCAUGCUUUACACAUGCAAGUCGAACGGUAACAGGGAGCUUGCUCCGCUGACGAGUGGCGAACGGGUGAGUAAUGCGUCGGAACGUGCCGAGUAGUGGGGGAUAACGCAUCGAAAGGUGUGCUAAUACCGCAUACGUACUGAGGUAGAAAGUGGGGGACCUUCGGGCCUCACGCUAUUCGAGCGGCCGACGUCUGAUUAGCUAGUUGGUGAGGUAAGGCUCACCAAGGCGACGAUCAGUAGCGGGUCUGAGAGGAUGAUCCGCCACACUGGGACUGAGACACGGCCCAGACUCCUACGGGAGGCAGCAGUGGGGAAUUUUGGACAAUGGGCGCAAGCCUGAUCCAGCCAUGCCGCGUGUCUGAAGAAGGCCUUCGGGUUGUAAAGGACUUUUGUCCGGGAGCAAAUACCCAGUGCUAAUAACGCUGGGGGCUGAGAGUACCGGAAGAAUAAGCACCGGCUAACUACGUGCCAGCAGCCGCAGUAAAAC